rnacentral:rRNA from 1 species
AAUGAACGCUGGCGGCGUGCUUAACACAUGCAAGUCGUGCGGCGAAGGUGGCUUCGGCUGCCGGAGAGCGGCGAACGGGUGAGUAACACGUGGGUGAUCUGCCGUGGGGGCGGGGAUAACCGUGGGGAAACUCGGGCUAAUACCGCAUACGUUGGCGGGUUUACGGACUCGUCAAAGAAAGCUGGCCCUCUGCUUGCAAGCUAGCGCUCCCAGAGGAGCCCGCGGCUGAUUAGCUAGUUGGUGAGGUAAUGGCUCACCAAGGCGACGAUCAGUAGUCGGCCUGAGAGGGUGAUCGGGCCACACUGGGACUGAGACACGGCCCAGACUCCUACGGGAGGCAGCAGUGGGGAAUAUUGGACAAUGGGCGCAAGCCUGAUCCAGCAACGCCGCGUGGAGGAUGAAGGUCUUCGGAUCGUAAACUCCUGUCAGGAGGGG